rnacentral:rRNA from 1 species
AUAACAAUACAGGACUCUUUUAAGGCCCUGUAAUUGGAAUAAGUACAUUUUAAAUCCUUUAACGAGGAUCUAUUGGUGGGCAAGUCUGGUGCAGAGCGACUGACCUGUGCGUGCUGCAGCUGAAACUCCACUAUCACCUG